rnacentral:rRNA from 1 species
UACGUAGGGUGCAAGCGUUGUCCGGAAUUAUUGGGCGUAAAGAGCUCGUAGGCGGUCUGUCGCGUCGGCUGUGAAAACCCGGAGCUCAACUCCGGGCCUGCAGUCGAUACGGGCAAACUGGAGUGUUGCAGGGGAGACUGGAAUUCCUGGUGUAGCGGUGAAAUGCGCAGAUAUCAGGAGGAACACCAAUAGCGAAGGCAGCUCGCUGGGACGGUAUUGACGCUCAUGCACGAAAGCGUGGGGAGCAAACAGG